UACGGAGGGGGCUAGCGUUGUUCGGAAUUACUGGGCGUAAAGCGCGCGUAGGCGGACCUGCAAGUCGGGGGUGAAAGCCCGAGGCUCAACCUCGGAACUGCCUUCGAUACUGCGGGUCUCGAGUCCGGGAGAGGUGAGUGGAAUUCCGGGUGUAGCGGUGAAAUGCGUAGAUAUCAGGAGGAACACCGGUGGCGAAGGCGGAUCUCUGGGCCAUUACUGACGCUGAGGAGCGAAAGCGUGGGGAGCGAACAGG
rnacentral:rRNA from 1 species